UUCAUUUGUAAAUGUAAGGAAAUACAAGGGAACGAAAACCACACAAUUCACUGAUGCCCAAGAGGACACAAAGUUAUGAUCAACACUUCAGAAAAUCAUUGAAGAGGCAUAAGAGAAUUUAGUUGUAGGCAUCCUGGUGCUCCAAGAGGUAGUUCUCAACCAACUUCAAGAGGUGGGAAGACUUCUCUUUGCUAGCCUUGAGAUGCUCUUCAUUAAUUUCAACAUCACCCUUAGUGUGGUAGUGGCAUGUGCGCUUGAUGAUGGAACCGCUGCCAGAAGCCACCAACGUAGUCUCAUAAGAGAUCUUCUCAAUUGUCUCUGAGAUAGCAUCUCCCUCAAUCAUACUGUACUUGUACACAAAGUUGUCCUUGUCAAUCACAUCAAUUCUUUUUUUCACGUAGCCAUUUGUGCUACCUUCACCGAAGAUGAUCUUCUGAACAGUUCCAACUCCACCAUCUCCUUCAAGGAUCUCAAUGCUCUUCACUGCCUGUGGUGCAAGCUUGGCGAUGAGUUCAUCACCAUCAAGAGCAGUCGCAUUGAACAACCUAGCAGGGGGGAUGACGGAGGUGGUCUCGGAUUCGUAUGUGAAAACACCCAUGAUUUUGCGAAGUGUUUGGAAAAUAGAAAAAAAAAAUUGAUGAAAAGGAAGAUGAUGUAAUGGGAGAUUUUGAGAUGUGAAGAAGUGAAGGAGGAGGUAUGUAUUUAUAGAAUGAGGCUGAGGUACUCAUCAACGUGGGAACAUUAAUUUUUCUACAUAUAAUUUUGUAUUUCUGGAGAGGGGAGGGACCAUCUGGAUCUGGAUAUCGAAUAAGAAAAUGCCCCGCUUACCACAUGGUCGACGAACCUCAAUUAUUUAUCAUAACUGUUUGUUCCAUGACCAAUCAAUGUUGACUGAGCAUUUCCACCCUAAAAUGCCCUCAGGCUAUAGACAACUCAAUUAUUUGAGGUAAACAGUAAUUAUCUAAGUGCAUUUUUACUUUUAAAAUGAAUAGCUCAGACUAUUGGUAUUAAAAUAUUUUUUAUAAAAUAAUUAAAGAUAACUUUAUUUUUAAUUACGGAUAAAAUAAAAGAUUGGUUGAAAGUAUUUAAAAAUAUUGAAAUGUUGUAAAGUGAACGAACAUGAUUAGAUAUUUAUAUAAUUUUUAUUUUUAUUUUGAUUAAUUAAUUUUUUUUAUAAUUUUUAAUAAUUUAAAUUGUGGCUGACGUCACGAUGACAUUAACCUUGGGUACAUAGGCCAAGCAUUAGGCUAAUGAAUUAUCGCCUGAUUGAAGAAUUGGGCUCCCCUGGAGCCCAUGCCCUGGACUGGGUUGAACGGUUUUUGAGGGAGAAUGAAUGAUGCAUUAGAUUGCCCACUCCUAACGGAUUUGAUUGCUCUGGAGCUGUCCCGAAAAGGUAGAGGUGAGAAUAUACCUAUAACGUUUAAAGCAACUCCAGCGGAUGAGGUUGCUCGGGGGCCAUGCUUUCAAACAGGAGCAAAUUGCUAGGGGGAUAGGCUCCAGCGUUAGGAAGCCCGAGUGACAGGCGAGGCCCGAGGAGCAGGCCCGGCGUGGAUUGCCAGCCCGAGGGCUACGUCAGGCGCGUGUGCUUCACGCGCACAUCUUCCAACAAAAAAACAGCGCUGGGGCCCAUGACGCCUGUUUUGAAAAGUUACCGUUGGGGAAGCCACGUGGCUUCCCCAUGUUUGUUCGAUUGCAAUGGCCUUAUUUUAUGGACCAUUGGAUUUCCAACGAUAAAAAACAUUUAAAAAUUUUCAUUUAAUUUCAUCUGUUUAAUCUAAGAUCAACGGUCCACGUUAUUAGGCUUUGUAAAUUAAAAAAAAAGAAUAAAUAGUUAAAAAUUCUGAAAUGUUGCCGUUGUCCCACGUGGCACAAUCUGGAGUGUUGAAAUUCAAAAUUUUUAAAUCCAACGGUAGAGAUUAAUUAGGUGAAUAAAAAUUUGAAAAAAAAUGUAAAAAUUCUUUAAAAUCCGAAAAAAAAAAUUAUGAAAAAUUAUAAAAAAAUUUGCUUUUACUUUUCUAUAAAUACUUUCUCAUUAUCUUCUACCUUACACCACAAUUUCAUAUUUUCUCAACUACUUUCAACCACAUUCCUAUAUUUCUCUCAAAGUUUGAAUCCAAUUUUUUUUUCCAACAAAAUGACUACUCAAGCAGAUACGAAUUGGACGCUUCUUGAAGAUGUUGCGUUGACUAGCUGGGUUCAAGUUACUCAUGAUUCGCUUACGGGUAAUGCGAUGCAGUUGCGAGAAAUGUGGAGUCUUAUUCAUACCAAUUAUCUUGAGAAAAUGGGUGGGCAAAGAACUAAAGAAUCGAUGUCCAGUCGUUGGAAAUUACUUAGCCAAGUGUUUAGUACGUGGAGAGACGCCUUGGCACCAGCUAGUGGUAAUAUUCGAAGUGGGGAAAAUUUAGCGGAUCAGGUAACAAUAUAUUAUUUAUUUGUUUGUAUUAUUUAAUUGUUAGCUACUUUCAUUAUAAUUAUUUGUUAAGCUACUUUCAUUAUAAUUAUUUGUUUGUAUUAUUUAUUUGUUAGGUACUUUCAUUAUAAUUAUUUGUUUGUAUUAUUUAUUUGUUACCUAUUUUCAUUAUAAUUAUUUGUUUGUAUUAUUUAUUUGUUACCUAUUCUCAUUAUAAUUAUUUAUCCUCCCGCAUUGUGUAGGAACUUCAAGCACAAGCUUGGUAUGGUGCCAAAACCAAAAGCAAAAGCAAAACAUUCACCCGGUUUGAAUGUUGGAAUAUUAUCAAAGAUUGUCCUAAAUUCAUAAUUGUGCCUGUCGGUCCAGAAGUUUCAUGAACAGCGUCCAUCUACACUCUACACCCAAUCAUGCCUCGCAUGAUCGUAAUGAAGAUGAUGCAGAAGAAGUGCUUGAAACGCCCCUGAUUGAACAAGCGUCGAGGUCGACCCGUUUUCCAAUUAGGCCUCAAGGUAAGAAGGCUUCAAAAAGAAAAGGUAAUGCUUCCAAGAAAGAUUAUGCAAGGUAUAUGGAAAACGGGUCAUUUGGUGAAGCAGGGGUUAGGGAAAGAGACAGGGAGUGUAAGGAGUGUGGUUGCAGAUGAGCGUUUGCGGUAGAGAGAUUUUGGGUCUUCCAUUUGGCCAUCUAAUUGUUGUAAUCAGAUCAAACUGUUAUUGGUCUGUAGUUUUUGGGACUAUGGGUUUUUUCGCAUGAGGGAGAUGGUAUUGAUUGAUGAAUUAGUUGUGUAUUUUUCUGUUUUGAUUUUUCUUUGUUCUUCGUCCCCUCUCCAACGCCACCACCAACAUCACUUUCACUAAAUCAAGGUGGAUAUAUUUAGAUACAUAUUAAGAUGCAACAAUUGUACUAAUAAUUUCGUUAAUAAACUUAACCUUUUGAUACAGAUGUCGGUGAUCUCUACCAUCUCCUUUUACAUUUGGUUAAUAAAUCUAACGUUUGAUACAACGUGUUUUUAUCAAAAAAUUAGCAUAGCCUUUUGUAAUCAUAGCUUCAUUGUUUUCACACUGAUUUGGGAAUACAUAUGUGAUUCCAGAACCUUAGAUUCAGCUCUCCACCUAUGUUCUUAAUAUGUUUUGACUUGGAUGGUUUUUAUUUAGUGAUGAUAUGCGAAUUGAAAGUGAAAAAUGGUCAAAGUUGGGGGUUGAACUGGUUUUUUGGAUUUGUGGUCAGUUAUAGUGUUGUUGAGACUUUGGAGAGGAAUCUGAAUUUUGGAUUUUCAAUUACAGAAUGGCUUUCAAACAUGAAAUUGAGUAACCCCUGAAUUUUGGGCACUUCUGCAAAAGCAGGCCAAUUUCAGAUAUUUGAAUUGCAGGUUGCAUAAUCUUUCUAAUAUUCGAAGCACUAUUUGAUAUUUGAAUUGAUACUUGAACUGAAUAAACAUCAGAUAGGCCAAUCAAUUUAAAUAUCAGAUAUAAUUUUUGUAUUAUGUUUCUCAAUAUCAUAUUUUAAUCAUCGUUUUGGGGUUUUUAUUUGGCAUUUCAUUCAAGUAUUCUUUGCUUCAAAUUAGAAAACAAACUCAAGCCCUCAAAAACAAAUGCUUAAUUCUUAUGCAUUCUAUGUUGCUACCGAGGUUUACAAUUUUUUUAUUUUUUUGGUUUUUAUUUUUCCUCCUCAGUUAUUAUUUUCCUAUAUUGUAUUGUCUGUUUGGGAAUGCCUCUCUUUUUUUACUUGCUGAGAAUGCCUCUGUCAAAAUUUUAAUGGCCUUUCUUUGUUUCGUCCCUAUCAUUUUCCUCAUUUUCUAUGUCCAAUUAUAAAGCAUCUUUUGAUUUUUAUUGAUAUAAAGACCUUUUCUUUCUCCAAUUAUGCCUCUGUCAACUCUUUUUAAUUUAAAUGCACUAAUUUAGUACUCGCAUAUAUCUGAUUGAGUAGAUGAAAAAGAGAGGGAAACAUGAAUUAUAUAUGCACCUUCACUUCGUUUUCUUAUACGUCCUAUUGUUACGAGAUAAAUUUAACACACAUCCAUACUAACAGCUCCCGUUUUCAAAAUUUGUAGAAACUAGUUGUGAACCGUUGCAGGGAAAAUUCAGAAUCGAAAACACCUCUACAUACUGAAGAUUAUGUCUAACUUUAGCAUACUUGAAGCCGGUACGCUAUGCCAUCAGGUGCCUCUAAUUUUGUAAACUGUUAAUUCUAUAUUAAAAUUUGAAAUUAUGAAUCCUUAUUAUUGAAAUGCCAAUGAUCUGAAGCUCAUGACUGAAUUAUUACAGUUCUGUAAGAUUUAUUGAAUACUUUUUUCUAACUAUCUUUCGCUGCAGAAUCACCGCCACCAACAGCUCUGGCCGUGCAGUUCGUCAUCGUCCAGUAUUCCUCCAAAAUUCCACUAUCAUUCUUUGCUCUCUCCGACUCAGUGCAUCUCUAUUCUUCUAGGUACACCCAUACCUAUAUCCCAAACGACUGUUUAUAUGUAUCUAUUUGUUAGAGAAGGCUUUUGCCUUUUGGGUUCAAUUUUAUCUACUGUUUUUUUAAUUCAACAAUGGAGCUUGCAUUAUCACACGAGAAAUUGGCAAAUGAAAGCUGCUCCACUUGCACAGUGUAAAACAUUCAUUGUUAUUGUAUGAUGUCUUCUUAAUAUAAGAUAUGUAUCGCUCAAGGAUUAUAAAUUUAAUAAUUAAAGAACAAAAAAGGAAUAAAAGUUCCUGAAUUUAAAGCAUGCGUCACAACGAAUCAUGAACCCCCUUUGGUGGUGGGGUAUUGUAGAGGGAUAUGGUACACACGAGUACAAUUGGAAUAAAAUUAAAAACAUUGUUGUAAUUAAGCGGAACUAGAGUUGUAAACUCGCGGCAUCGCUCAUGCUUUUUUGCUAGUGCAUACUAUUUGAAAGGUACGUACUAACUAAUUAAACUCUGUAAAAUUUAUUGGAAAAGCUAACAACUUGGUUCAGUUCUAUGUUAGAGUGUUUUUAUAUGGUUUGUGUUAGGGUUUUCUAGAAUAGGAUAAGAAUUAUAUUUGUCUUUUCAUUUGUAUACUAAAUUUCCUAUUGCAUUGUCAGUUCAUUAUGUAAUGCAUGCGACUAUUGUUGAAGAGCUAAUAUUGCCCCAUCAUUUUCCACUAUUGAGAAAACCAUACAUCAACAACAAAUUACAUGCAUGUGAAAGCUUACAAUGCUGCAAUUACUUUAAUGUUGAAGGUAAAAGAAUGAUAACUUACUUAGGCCUCAUUUGAUAUAGGCGAUUGAAUUUGAAUAGGUAAAAAACUAUUGUCAAGAUAUGUUGAAUGUUGAAGAAAGAAAUGAAAAAUUUGUGACAAACAUGGAGUAAGAGAUGAAUUACUUAAGAAGAAAACUUAUCUAUUCCAAUCCUCCUUAAAAUGGUAGGAUUACAAAAAAGAGAAAUUUCUUUGGGUAAAUUACAUUUUACCACCUCAACUUUGGGUCUCAUAUAAAUCUCAUGCCUUAUCUUUUAAACAUUGCAAUAUCAUACAUCAACUUAUCGUUGUAAUGUCAAACCUCCAUCAACUUUUUUGUCAAAUUUUCUGUUAAAUGCUGACAUGGUAGACGGAGGACCCACUCCCUAACCCAACCGGAUUAAAAAACUAAUUAAAUAUUAAUAAAAUAAGAUUAAAAAAAAAAGAAUUAAUGAAAAGAAAAAUAAAACUCUCUUCUUAGCCACCACCAUGAACUCGAGUCGAGCUCUCUGACCUCGUGCACUGGAAGCUCGCCCAUGCAAAUGGCUACCAUUGUUGCCGCUAUUUGAAAACUUUGAACCGGUGAACCCAAGGCUGCAUCUCUUGAAACCUCCUCUUCUCGAUCCGAUCAUAGCCUCCGACCCAUUGCUCCUAAUUAAUUGGAGCUCACAUGCCUCACUACUAAACGACUGCCAUUCCCGAUCUAGUCACCGCCUCCAAAAAGCCAGUAGCGUCGACUACAGAUUGCAACGAUGCUGUUUUGAAGCGUCGUCUUCCUUGAUUACUUCGCCUCCCUCAGUCGCGCUUGAAGCACUAUCUCACUAUUUUCUGGUGAGAUCGAUGAGAUUUAGAGAUUCUUGAAGAAUCUCGUAUGGGACUGGACACCCUCAUCGUUGCAGUCGGAGCAAACCCACAUGUGGGUUUUGUGGUUGGGGUAGCGAUCAAUAAUGGUGAAAUUUGAUAAAUUAGGGAUUUCGGCUUGUUGGGGUUUCUGAAUUUUUUUUGUAAAGAUGUGAAAUUGGUGUUGCUUUUGCUUUGUUUGAUGGAUUUGGAUAAACAAAGUAGAUUGCCCGCAUAUUCUGAUAAAUUGCUUCGUAUGGGAUUUUUGUUUUUGUUGCUUCAUUAUGUUUAAGUUGAGAAGGAGGAGGAGUAUGACGACGUCGUUGGAUAGUAGUGGUGGUGGUUGCUACUGGGGGUUUGAGGAGGAAGACGACGGCGACAAGAUGCAGGUGAAUUGGAGAAGAAGGGUGAGGGUGAUGGUUUGAAGGGGUGGGUUCCAUAUUUUUUUUAUAAAAAUAUUUAAAUGAUUUUAUUUUUAAUAUUUAAUUAAUUUUUUAAUCUAGUUAGACUAGGAAGUGGGCCCACCUCAAGCUACGUUAGCAUUUAACAGAGAAAUUUAAAGAAAAACUGACGGAGGUCUAACAUUGCAACAAAUUCGAAAGAUGAGGUAUGACAUUGUAAUUUUAAAAGCAUGAGGUAUGAGAUUGUAGUUAGGGGUGGGCAUAAAACUGCCAAACUGCAAAACUGCAUCGAACCGUAUGUUAAAAAAAUCGAAAAAAACCGUGUUGAUCGGAAAAGUCAAUUUUGAGCCAAAAAUCGAACCGAACCGUUCAAACCGGUUUUGGUUCCGAUUUCGAAUGAUCAUGAACCGGCCAGAACCGAACCGAAUCGUUUUAUUAAUAAUAAAUAAUUUAAUUAUAUAUAUAUAUACACAUGUCAUGGUAUGAUUGGUGAAAAUUUUGUUUCACCAAAUUGCAAAGCAUUGGAUUUUAUCCCAAUUAGGGUUCAUUCGCACUAAGUCGCUGACCUUACGGCCUCACACACUCACACUCCAUUUCCUGAUUCCCCCAUCCCAUUUCACACAGAGAACCGACCGGCGACCACCCACCCACUCACGACCUCAGACCUCUCAUCCAAAAUAUCAGCGAUUCAGCCCACAACCUUAACUGCGACGGCCCUCAUCAUCCCUCCUUCGCGACAGCUUAGACAUUUCGUCCUCCAUUGAUCUGUCCUCUGUGACAGCUUAGACAGUUCCUUGGUAUUUUCUCUAUCUAUUCUCAUAUUUGAGAUUAGGAAUAUGGUUGAAUUCCACUGGAAGUGUGAAGCUGAUCAAACUUCCAUUGCUAUAUGAUCUAAAAGCAUUGUUAAAAUCUUUUGACAUAGAUAAAAGGAAGUAUGCAGUUUAAGCUAAUUCAAUGGUACAAGAGUCUGAUAUAAGGAAGCGUGGGCAUGGUUUAUGUUGUUGGGAACCACUUAAUGUUUACAAAUUUUGGUCUUAGAAAUUUUAAUAUUUUUAAUUAGAAAAUUUUGGUCUUUUUCCUUAUUCUCAGAUUGGGAUUCAGCAUCAUAAUACAUGACAAUACUUUAUGUGGCUUUUCUACUUUUCUUUUGUAGUAGUUUUUGUUUUUUUUGUUUUUGCAAAUCUUUAAUUAAGGUUGUGUAGGCUAGAUUACUAGCAUUUUAAUUUUUAACUAGAUGAUUGUUGAAGCCUACGAAUAAGGUUAUGCUUGUUGAAUUGCUUAGAUUAGUCUGUACAGUAUACUGCCUGGUGGCUGUAGCUUAAUACUUGCAUGAUCUAUAUUAUUGAAAUGUCUUGUUUAAAUUCAAGGCUAUGAAAAUGUCAUAAUUUUCACUUUAUAAGUGGUUACAAAUAGGUGUUAUCUCUCUUUUCCAUGGUUUUUCUAGUGAAAUAAAAUGAGUAUUGGAGAAUGAUUUUUGGUUUUUAUUUGGUUUAAUUUGAUUUGUUGACUGACUGACCAAUAUAGUGGGUCAAGAAUCAAGAUUGUUUACACGGCAAAUGAAAAAAGCAAAAAAUUUUGGUAUUGGACAAGCAUUUUGAUACCACAGAGGUAAUGUGUCUAUCGACUUUUGUUGCAUUGUCCAAUCAAUUAUGUGCCAAGAGACUCAUGACAACUGACACAUAUGGCCAAGUUUGCUGAUCAAUGUAUAUUUCUUUUAGUUAUCUUUUUUGUUGACUCGGUGCUACUACCAAGGACAUUUACAUUAGAAAAGAUGUCUUGGAUGCAACUUUAUAUAAUCAUUUUUAGAAGAUAUAUUUGAAUGCAUAAUGAUUUGGUGUUCAAAUAAUUUAGUAUUCGAAACUGUAAACCGGCAAGAACCGAAUCGAAAUCGGUGUAGACCGAACCGUAAGGUUCUAAUAAUAAAUUUAAGUGGAAUCGCAUCAAACCGAACUGUUGAUAUUUUCCGGUUCUGGUUCCGAUUUAAGGGUGGAAUCGUACUGAACCGCAUCAUGCCCACUCCUAAUUGUAGUUCGACCCAUAGUUGAGGUAAUUUUGUGUAAUUUACCCGAUUUCUUUCAUCUAACCCUAUUCUAUUCUUGUCAAAAUGAAAAAUUACUGGAAAAUUACAUUUUACCACUGCAACUUUAGAUCAUAUAACAAAUGCAUGUUCAUCUUUUGAACAUUUCAAUGUCAUACAUAAACUCACAAAUCCGUUGCAAGGUUAGACAUCUAUUAGAGAAUUUGUUAAGUAAUGAUGUUGUAACAAUGGAUUCCAUAUUUAUGGACUGAUGUAGUUGCUAAUUUGUUCCAUUCCAACUGAUAAAAAUUAUUUAAUUUCUUUUUAUUAAAAAAAAAAAACCAAUGCUUCCCUAGAUAUUGAGAGAUUUUUCAGUGUGAUCAGUAUACAAGGUGAUACACUAUGUAUCACAAUACAAAUGGUGAAAUUUGUGUGUUAAAAAUUUAAUAACUUAAAAAAUAAAAUUUCUCACCAUUUAUAUAAAAACACGUAGUAUACCACCGUAUUCCUUUUAUAUUGAAAUUUUUUUCCUAGAUAUCACCAUUGUUGUUGUUUGUUUUAUUUUUUCUGGUUUAAUCCCUUCACCCACCCCACCUAACCUCCGCCCACUGCAACCGUUGUCCUCGUUGCCGGAAAAGUCUCCUCUCUAUCUUCUCAUCCUUGCACUCUCUGGUCUAGGCCCUUAGGUCAUCUCCAACCGAAGGGUCCAGAGGGCCAGAGGGCCGAAAAUAGCCCUAAAACCGUCUCCAACCGAGGGCUAGGCCAGAGGGCUCUGGAAUCUGGGAGGGCCCCACGGGAUCGGAGAGGGCUGGAGGGCUGGAGGGCUGGCUGCUUUCGGCCAGCCAGCCAGCCCCGGGCUGGCUAUUUUUUUUUUAAUGAUUUCCUAUUGCUGUCGGUUAUAGCCGACAGCAUUAAAGAUAUUCUUUUUUUUUUAAUAGUUCUACUAUUAGUGUCGGUUAUAACCGACACUAAUAGUUUGAAAUGUUUUUUAAUAUAACGGCUAGUAGCCGUUGUAUUAUUAGGCCUCUUUUUUUUUCUUUUUUUUUUUAAUGAAUGUAAACUUCUUUUUUUCCCCUUUUUUUUUCCUUUUCAUAUGAAUCAAAUUUUGUUUCAUAUUUUUUUUCCUAUAACUUUUAUUUCACAAAAUUUGUUUCAUAUUUUUUUUCAAUUCUAUUUUUUUCGUAUAACUUCCUAGGCCAUUUAUACAACAUUAAAUUGUAGUUUUUAAAUAAUAAAUUAUGUUUGGCCCUAUGGCCCUUUGGCCCUCGGUUGGAGACGGUUUUUUGUGACAGGGCUAAAACGAGCCCUUUGGCCCUCUGGCCCUCGGUUGGAGACUGAGGCAAAUAUGGCCCUGUACUGUUCAUUAAAAUAUUAAUAUCUUGGGGAAUCUUGGAGGGCUAGAGGGCUCAAACGAGCCCUCUGGCCAGCCUUCGGUUGGAGAUGGCCUUAGUCUAUCGCCGGUAGAUCCCGCCUUUUGCAGUCACCAAUUAGCCACCAUGUGACCAUGACUCAUGCAGCGGCGUAGUCAUCGCCGCCAUCAGGAGAAUAAUCAAAAGUUCAAAAAGCUCCGCUUCCAAAUGUGGCCUGUGAUAAUACUGCUUUGCUUUUGAGAAAUUCUCGAACGGAACCGAUCACCACUGCUCGUUUUGCGGGAGAGGUUUAUGUAGAGCUCGAAUGAAAUGGUUGCGAUCAUGCAACUUUGUCGCAAUCCCAUUCAUUUGAGAUUUGGGAAGGACUGGGUCAGGUCUGGAUUGGGAUGGUGGGGUAUGGUUGGGAGGGAUUAGUUCAGGUUUGGGUUAUUAUUUAAGUUGAGGGAAUGCCUAUCAUUCAAAAAUAGAGUAAACUGUCGGUUUACCCCCUGAACUUUCACUUCACUUUCGAUUUCCCCCCUGAACUUUUCUAUUGGAAAAUUAAGGACUCAAACUAAUUUUUUUAGCCAAUUUGCCCCCUACCGUUAGUUUUUCAUAUAUUCCAUCCAUAUUUCCGUUAAGUGAGACCAUGUGCACAACAUGUGAGGGAGUUAAGUCAUUUCACUCUUAAAAAUGAUUAAAAAACUGAAAAAAAAAAAAAACAAAACUUUCCCUCUAUUUCUUCCCGCUAAUUCCUAUCCUCGAUUUUAUUUUUCCCUCUCAUUCCUAUGCAUGAGAAAUGACAUAUGGUGUUAUUGUCUACAAUUUUUAUUUUCUCUAACAAAUUAAUAAUUUGACAAAUGCUAAUGGUGCUAUUGUCUCCAAAGCAGUGCAUUAAUAUAAGAAACCCUAGUCUUUUUUAUGGACAUGUUUCUUAUAUUAAUGUACUGCUUUGAAGACAAUAACACCAUGAGCAUUUGUCAAAUUAUUAAUUUGUUAGAGAAAAUAAAAAUGGUAGUACAUGAUUCAAGAAAAAGAUUAACUUAGCUACUUAUGAAGUCAAUAACACCAUAUGUCAUUUCUCAUGCAUAGGAAUGAGAGGGAAAAAUAAAAUUGAGGAUAGGAAUUAGCGGGAAAAAAAUAGAGGGAAAGUUUUUAUUAUUAUUUAUUUUCAGUUUUUAAUCAUUUUUAAGAGUGAAAUGACUUAACUAUCCUCACAUGUUGUGCACAUGGUCUCACUUAACGGAAAUAUGGAUGAAAUAUAUGAAAAACUAACGGUAGGGGGCAAAUUGGCUAAAAAAAUUAGUUUGAGUCCUUAAUUUUCCAAUAGAAAAGUUCAGGGGGGAAAUCGAAAAUGAGCUGAAAGUUCAGGGGGUAAACCGACAGUUUACCCUUCAAAAAUAUUACAAUAAUUUAAGAAAUGAGGAGUUUCGAACUCGGGACACAUAAUGAAAAUUCAACACUCUAACCACUUGGAUAUUAUAUAAGUUUAUUAUAAUCUUUAGUUGAAAUUUGCUCUUAAAAAGAUCAGUUGGUGAUUAAUAUGAAUUACAUAUGUAAGUUUGGGUCACAUAUAGUUAUAAAAUGAAGCUUUAAAUUCAUUACCAAGGUGCACAAAAAAAAUGCAAAUAUAUUAUCAAACCUCCAUGAUUUUCUUUUUAUUCAUUUGUAAAUUUAAGGAAAUACAAUAUUCACUGGUCACUCAAAAUCUCGAAUUACAAGCCUAAAUAGUAUUCCAGAAGCAGAAGUUACAAAUAAAGGAACGAAAACCACAUAAUUCAUUGAUGCUAAAGAGGACACAAAGUUUUGAUCAACACAUAGAAAAUCAUUGAAGAGGUAGAAGAAAAUUUAGUUGUAGGCAUCCUGGUGCUCCAAGAGGUAGUUCUCAACCAACUUCAAGAGUUGGGAGGCCUUCUCUUUGCCAGCCUUGAGAUGCUCUUCCUUGAUUUCAACAUCACCUUUGGUGUGGUAGUGGCAGGUGCGCUUGAUGAUCGAACCGUUGCUGGAAGCCACCAACAU
rnacentral:lncRNA from 1 species